UGCACCAUGGUUGUCUGAGCAUG
rnacentral:miRNA from 6 species